rnacentral:rRNA from 1 species
UUCGGUUGAUCCUGCCGGACCUGACUGCUAUCUGAUUGGUACUAAGCCAUGCGAGUCGUUGUACAAUACAAGGCGGACUGCUCAGUAACACAUAAGUUGAACUUAACCUAUGGAUGGGAAUAACCUCGGGAAACUGAGAAUAAUACCCAAUAGACCACAGUGCCUGGAAUGGCCUGUGGUUGAAAUGAUUUAUCGCCGUAGGAUAGGACUGCGGCCUAUCAGCUUGUUGGUGAGGUAAUGGCCCACCAAGGCUAUAACAGGUACGGGCUCUGAGAGGAGGGGCCCGGAGAUGGGUACUGAGACACGGACCCAGGCCCUAUGGGGCGCAGCAGGCGAGAAACCUUUGCAAUGUGCGAAAGCACGACAGGGUUAAUCCGAGUGUCUCCUGCUAAAGGAGUCUUUUGUCAGUUGUAGAAUCACUGGUGAAUAAGGGGUGGGCAAGUUCUGGUGUCAGCCGCCGCGGUAAAACCAGCACCUCGAGUGGUCAGGAGGUUUAUUGGGCCUAAAGCAUCCGUAGCCGGUUGCAUAAGUUUUCGGUUAAAUCUAUGCGCUUAACGUAUAGGCCGCCGAAAAUACUGUGCAGCUAGGGA